GAGACUCUACUUUCAGGGAUUAUUUCUUUAGUCUGUAACUAGAGGAUUGUGUUUCUACAGAGGUUGGUCUGGCUGUCCAUGAUGAUGAUGAUGAUGAUGAUGUUUCCUUCAGAGCAGGAAGCUGGUGAGAAGAUGAGAGUCUUCUUCACUGAUGAAGACUGUUCAGUGUUUCUGGAUGUGACACUGAAGGAGGAAACAUUGUCUGAGUGGA
rnacentral:snoRNA from 1 species